CGGCGGAACCAAGUGACAGCCGGAAAUACGUCUGCGUUCGCAGGCUAUAAAACAAACGGUUGUGGACAGAAUGUAAUUAUCCUGGCAAGGGCUUGAAUAAGGACAAUAAGCGUGCAAUCUGAGAAUUUUAGAGUGACAUUUGACGGUAGCCCGGAUCUUAGUUGUCAUGAUCUGUUAACUGUCCACUUGAGUGAUUCUGAUCUCGUGAAGCAGCUGCUGUCUCGUGAUCAUUUCAGAAACUGUAUCUUCAGAAUACGCCUUUCUGCUCGGAUUUCGCUUUUCAGUGCAUGGAUAGAUAUGAGUUGAUUCUAGAAGAUCCUUGAAUCGUUUCUGUUUGCAUAAAAACAUUUAACGAGACCAAACAGACCAUAGGGAUACUGAAAAACAUCUCUUCAGUGGACCACUGUUGAUUUGUAUUAACUGCGAAUCGACUGCAAACGUAGAACAGGGUUUUACAG